rnacentral:rRNA from 1 species
CCUAGGGGAGGCAGCAGUAGGGAAUAUUGGGCAAUGGAGGAAACUCUGACCCAGCGACGCCGCGUGAGGGAUGAAGGCCUUCGGGUUGUAAACCUCUUUCAGCAGGGACGAAGCGAAAGUGACGGUACCUGCAGAAGAAGCACCGGCUAACUAUGUGCCAGCAGCCGCGGUAAU